rnacentral:lncRNA from 1 species
CAACAUUUGCUGGGGCCCCAGAGCCAAAACCUCUGUGUGCAGCCUGCAGGGAGCCAGGGAAUGGGGUGCAGGGCUCCAGCCAUCUCCUAGCGGACCUGGAGCCAGAAGCCAGCUUCACAUUGCUGGAAUCCAGCCGCAAGGGAGAACUCGGAGGAGACUGGUAAGCCUCACUUGUAGGCUGAAUGAAAUUCCAUCGCAUCUAGAAAUGACCCCAUUUCUUCCUCCCCUACAGAUAACAGCAUCAAAAAUGAUCAGCUUUAUUCUCUAGGUAUUUUCUGAUAUCAUGAAGGUAACCAGGAGGGAAGCCUGUGUAUGCAAUGUUCCUUUCCAGUGACAGAUUUCCCUGUCUUCACCAUUCCCUGGACAGAACCACCUGGACAAUCAAAGCAAGAGCAAGAAACCUGUGAACAGCACCGCUUUCUCACCAUCUCCUUAUGAACUGAGCAGCCAUCUGAUCCUGCCUGGCUCAUGCAUCUUGAAUUCCUGCAAACUUGUGAAGAAUUUUCUGACUAUUGAAAAAAGCCAAACCAAACCAAAGAACCAACAAAGGGAGACAGUAAUGAAGAACAAGCUGAUUUUUGUCCUGAUGUUCUUCACCAGGUACAAAGGUAACUAG